rnacentral:rRNA from 1 species
CCUACGGGAGCAGCAGUGGGGAAUAUUGGACAAUGGGCGAAAGCCUGAUCCAGCCAUGCCGCGUGUGUGAAGAAGGCCUUCGGGUUGUAAAGCACUUUCAGUGGGGAAGAAAGCCUUGGGGCUAAUACCCUCGAGGAAGGACAUCACCCACAGAAGAAGCACCGGCUAACUCCGUGCCAGCAGCCGCGGUAAUACGGAGGGUGCGAGCGUUAAUCGGAAUUACUGGGCGUAAAGCGCGCGUAGGCGGUCUGAUAAGCCGGUUGUGAAAGCCCCGGGCUCAACCUGGGAACGGCAUCCGGAACUGUCAGGCUAGAGUGCAGGAGAGGAAGGUAGAAUUCCCGGUGUAGCGGUGAAAUGCGUAGAGAUCGGGAGGAAUACCAGUGGCGAAGGCGGCCUUCUGGACUGACACUGACGCUGAGGUGCGAAAGCGUGGGUAGCAAACAGGAUUAGAUACCCGUGUAGUC